rnacentral:rRNA from 1 species
GAUGAACGCUAGCUACAGGCUUAACACAUGCAAGUCGAGGGGAAACGAUAUUGGAAGCUUGCUUCCGAUAGGCGUCGACCGGCGCACGGGUGAGUAACGCGUAUCCAACCUGCCCACCACUUGGGAAUAACCUUGCUAAAGUAAGACUAAUGCCCAAUGAUAUCUCUAGAAGACAUCUGAAAGAGAUUAAAGAUUUAUCGGUGAUGGAUGGGGAUGCGUCUGAUUAGCUUGUUGGCGGGGUAAGGGCCCACCAAGGCGACGAUCAGUAGGGGUUCUGAGAGGAAGGUCCCCCACAUUGGAACUGAGACACGGUCCAAACUCCUACGGGAGGCAGCAGUGAGGAAUAUUGGUCAAUGGGCGAGAGCCUGAACCAGCCAAGUAGCGUGCAGGAUGACGGCCCUAUGGGUUGUAAACUGCUUUUAUAAGGGAAUAAAGUGAGCCUCGUGAGGCUUUUUGCAUGUACCUUAUGAAUAAGGACCGGCUAAUUCCGUGCCAGCCGCCGCAGUAA